rnacentral:lncRNA from 1 species
GGAAACAAAAGCAGCUCACAGCCUGCCCUGCGUGUUGUCAGUGUGAUUUCUUUGUAAAGUCUUCCUACCUGUCUUCAUAAGAUCUCCUGCAUGUGCACGUGUAUGUGUGCAUAUGUAUAUAUGUAUGUGUAUGUGAAUUUGUGUGCUUGUGUGUGCGCGUGCCUAUGCACUAUGUAUGUAUAUGCAUGUGUAUGUGUAAGUUUGUGUGCUUAUGUGUAUAUGUCAGUAUGCAUUUACAGGCAUGUGUAUAUAUGCCUGUGUGUAUAUAUCUGUGUGUAGCAGUGUGUUUACAGGCACGUGUGUCAUUGACUUGUGUGUGUCUAUGUGUGGGUGUGUGUUUACAGGCACAUGUGUCAUUGACUUUCUAGUCUCACUUUGGAUUUUUACUUUCAGUGCCUUCUACUCCUGUUCACUUUGCCAAUGGAAUGAAAAACUACACCAAGAAACCGUCCUCCAUGCAGGACAGUGCUAUGGACCCAUCAGAGGACCAGCCCUGGCCACGGGGCCCUCUGAGGCACGUCCCAGAGAGUCCCUUUGGUCUCUCCUCGGGCCUGCGGGAAGGAAGCCUCAGUUCCCAAGAUUCCAGGACUGAAAGUGCCAGCUUGUCCCAGAGCCACGUCAAUGGCUUCUUUACCAGCCACUUAGGUGACCGAGGCUGGCAGGAGCCACAGCACAGCAGCCCAUCACCACCUGUAACCUCCAAGAUC